CGCCUGGGGAGUACGGCCGCAAGGUUAAAACUCAAAUGAAUUGACGGGGGCCCGCACAAGCGGUGGAGCAUGUGGUUUAAUUCGACGCAACGCGAAGAACCUUACCUGGCCUUGACAUGCAGAGAACUUUCCAGAGAUGGAUUGGUGCCUUCGGGAACUCUGACACAGGUGCUGCAUGGCCGUCGUCAGCUCGUGUCGUGAGAUGUUGGGUUAAGUCCCGUAACGAGCGCAACCCCUAUCCCUAGUUGCUAGCAGUUCGGCUGAGAACUCUAGGGAGACUGCCGGUGACAAACCGGAGAAGGUGGGGAUGACGUCAGUCAUCAUGGCCCUUACGGCCAGGGCUACACACGUGCUACAAUGGCGCGCACAGAGGGCUGCAAACCCGCGAGGGGGAGCCAAUCUCACAAAACGCGUCUUAGUCCGGAUCGCAGUC
rnacentral:rRNA from 1 species